rnacentral:tRNA from 1 species
CGCGGGAAUAGCUCAGUUGGUAGAGCGCAACCUUGCCAAGGUUGCGGCGGGGCGCGCAGCCUCGACGGUUCCGGCGACCA